AGCAAUGCACCCUCAACAGACCCAUGGGGGCUCACGAGCUCCCAGCAAUGAACCCUCACCAGACCCACGGGGGCUCACGAGCUCCCAGCAAUGCACCCUCAACAGACCCACGGGGGCUCACGAGCUCCCAGCAAUGCACCCUCAACAGACCCACGGGGGCUCACGAGCUCCCAGCAAUGAACCCUCAACAGACCCACGGGGGCUCACGAGCUCCCGGCAGUGCACCCUCAACAGACCCACGGGGGCUCACGAGCUCCCGGCAAUGAACCCUCAACAGACCCACGGGGGCUCACGAGCUCCCAGCAAUGCACCCUCAACAGACUCACUGGGGGGUCACGAGCUCCCAGCAACGCACCCUCAACAGACUCAUCGGGGGCUCACGAGCUCCCAGCUGUGCACCCUCAACAGACCCACGGGGGCUCACGAGCUCCCAGCAAUGAACCCUCAACAGACCCACGGGGGCUCACGAGCUCCCAGCAAUGCACCCUCAACAGACCCACGGGGGCUCACGAGCUCCCAGCAAUGAACCCUCAACAGACUCAUCGGGGGCUCACGAGCUCCCGGUCCGAGGCCUCCUUUGGCAGCAGGGACUCAGGAGGGAGAAGAGUGAGCCCUUGGCCACAUGGUUGGUCAAAUCAACUCCUAGAGGUUAUGACCCUUCUCUGCUGUGGCCUUCACCAAACCACGCAUGUUGGGUGGAGGGGAAGUGGCCUCUGUGGCUGCCCCAGCUGGCAGAGUGUGGUCUGUCCUGCUCUAAACUGGGUCCCCAGAAGGCACUGCUCUCCAGAUGGGCUGGUGAGACUCCUUGGUGUGCAGCUGCUUAUGACCAGCACAGUUAGGGGCUGUCGUCAGCACCGCCACUGGUACCUGCAGAGCCGAGUCCACUCCUGGGGCCGGCUGGAUCAGGGUGCAGCCAGGGUGUGGGGCGCCAGGGAGCUCUCCGGGACCCCCAAAGCCAGAUGCAGCCCUGUCCACUCGUGCUCUGUGGACAGAGAAGGCAGAGUCCCAGGACACUGUGCUCAGGAAAGCGAGCUCCAGAGGAGGCUGAGGAGAUUUGGGAGUGCCCAGGACAGCCUGGCCCUGUGCAGGUCCAUGGGAAAACCUUCCACUCUCCCCUUUCAGGGAGGUCUGGGGGCUUGGCUGCCUCUCAGCGGGCCAGGGCGACUUCUCAUCAUUUCCGCAAUGGAUGCAGCCUGGGGGGCUGGGUAGGAGCCUCCAGCCCUGGCCCCUCCGCCCCAGCCCUGGCUAGCGGCAUGACUGUGGGUGAACGGCGGCACCUGAGAGCCUCAGUUUCCCUGUCUGUGAAGGGAUGCACAGUGUCAGUUUGACCCCCGGAGGCUGCAGUGAGGACGGGGCCCAGGAGGUCAGGAGAGCAGCCCGUUUCCGGCCAGGGCACCGUGGUGUUUGUGGAACACGGCCCCACUGACUUCAGCUGCUGGGGCUGAAAGAGCCGUGAGAAGAGUCGAUCUCCCGGGGGCUUCAUGUGUCUUUUUGCUGCAUUUUACUCACACACGACCCUCCUAGUCCAUGUAAGAGAAGAUAAGUUUAUGGAACAAACCCAGUAUUUACUUAACUUUUAAAAUAUAAGCUUCACAGACCAGCGUUACAUAAAAA
rnacentral:antisense_RNA from 1 species